GCGCCUAUAGCUCAGGGGUUAGAGCACAACGCUUAUAACGUUGGGGUCGAUGGUUCAAGACCAUCUAGGCGCA
rnacentral:tRNA from 1 species